AACCACACUUGGCCGUUCACUCUACCACGUUACUCGACCCCCUGGUCGAGUAUCAUCACUCACCACCAACACCAUCACUCGACCGGACACUUGAUCACGUCUUUACAGUCUACUCAAAUCCGCACUCAACCAGACAAGCUGAGCACAGGGAAGAGAAGAGGAGAAGACGAAGUGUUAGGAAGCGGCAUGGACCUCCAUCGGAUCACGAAGCCCAUCUCGGCCCAUUAUCAUUCUAUGGGCCGGGCGAUUAGGUUAUUGGACUGUCUACUAUCAUUUUAUUUCGUUUUGUAUAAAUAGAUGUCUUAGGGUUCUGUCUUGGGACAUCUAGUUUUAUUUUCUGUUUGACUCUACUGCGCCGUUUUUGCUUCUGGCAUCAGCCUGUUGUGGUCGAGUGAUUUUAGUAAUUCUGUUAUUGUUUCUGUUUUCUGCAUGUUCACUUAGGACUGUUAGAAACCCCAAUACUGUUAUUGCUUGGCUUGACUUAGUGACUUCUGAUCACAUCUCAUCUGUUUGCAUCACACCCAUUUGGAUUGACACCUAAAAUACUACAACGACAUGAUUGGUGUUUUAGGAUAAUUGACUAAAAACCUAUUAUCAGUUU
rnacentral:sRNA from 1 species